rnacentral:rRNA from 1 species
UACGUAGGGGGCGAGCGUUAAUCGGAAUUACUGGGCGUAAAGCGUGCGUAGGCGGUUCGUUAAGUUCGUUGUGAAAGCCCCGGGCUCAACCUGGGAAUGGCAAUGGAAACUGGCGGGCUGGAGUAUGGCAGAGGGGGGUGGAAUUCCGCGUGUAGCAGUGAAAUGCGUAGAGAUGCGGAGGAACACCGAUGGCGAAGGCAGCCCCCUGGGCCAAUACUGACGCUCAGGCACGAAAGCGUGGGGAGCAAACAGG